UACGUAGGGGGCAAGCGUUGUCCGGAUUUAUUGGGCGUAAAGAGCGUGUAGGCGGCCAGACAGGUCUGCUGUGAAAACUCGAGGGCUCAACCCUCGAAGACGCCGGUGGAAACCGUCUGGCUAGAGUCCGGAAGAGGAGAGUGGAAGUUCCUGGUGUAGCGGUGAAAUGCGCAGAUAUCAGGAAGAACACCCGUGGCUAAGGCGGCUCUCUAGUACGGUACUGACGCUGAGACGCGAAAGCGUGGGGAGCGAACAGG
rnacentral:rRNA from 1 species